AUCGCUUCUCGGCCUUUUGGCUAAGAUCAAGUGUAGUAUCUGUUCUUAUCAGUUCAGAUCUACUGAAGCAGGCUGAAGUCUGAAGAUCUGAAGCAGGAGAAAGAGAACAUCU
rnacentral:snRNA from 1 species